AUCUGUAACUCCAACUCCUGGAGAUCUGAGACCCUCUUUUGGCCUUUGAGGUUAUCUAGUACACAAAUGCACAUGUACAUAUGCUUCCACAUAUACACGGAUACACUUUAAUAAACAAAUCUUUCAAACCAUAUUUUUGAGAUAUAAUUCAUUCAGCACACAGUUCACCCAUUUAAAGUAUACAUUUUGUGUGUGUGUGUUACUUUCAAAUGGUGGAUGAAUAUAUUUAUGUACGAUGCUGAUCUAUAGAUUGUAUAAAAUGGCUAGUAUUAUGAAAUUUUAGAAAACUGUUUUUACUGGGUCAUAUUCACAGCACAGAGAUGUGGAACGUGUAGUGGGGAUUCUUGAAUUUAUUAAUCACAUCUGCAAUUGCCCAGGGCUCCAGUUCUCUUGUAUAUGGUUGCUUGGGUUUACGAUGUGUGAACCCUGUUCUGAGACAGUAGAAGUGUUAAUGCCUGCCCUUAGUACCUGGGCUCAUGGUUCACAGUGGCACCUCUGCAUUUCGUUUAUUGGAACGUUUCCCCCUCAGCUCAGAUUCAAGAGUAGGGGCAUCUUCUCUGCUUUUUGAAUGAGGACUUAGAAGACACUGAGAAGCAGCCUUGGGGUAUAUGAGUUCGGCUUUACAGAGUAGUUCCUAAAGAACUGCCACGCGCUCUCUCUUCUUCUCACCCUACAGAAGCCUGCUGGAAAUGAUGUCACCAACAAGUCCUGACAGUAAAGGGAAGAAAUGGGAGGGGAAGGGGCUGCCGGGAAUUCAUGAUCUGUAGGGGCUUUCGGGUAGAUUACCAAAUAGCCAGUUUGACGGAUGGUUGUGAGGCCCACAAUUAAUGAUGUAGCCCGUGAGGCCUUAUUAAAUCUUCACUUACAGAAUCAUUGUACGGAAUUUCCUUGUUUUCUUUCUCAUAAUUAUACCUUCCAGUUACGCACUGGGGACAGCUUAGCAGUUUCACAUUGUAAGAAAACAAACAAGAUUACUGUAAAGCCGAGCUAUUUUCAAUAGUAAAGAGUUACCUAAAAACUCCCUUGACCUUUCAUUUUCUUGAAAACCAUAGAAAUAUGAAGAAUUUGGGAUUAGUAAGACUAUCAUCGAGCUGUUGUUUAAAAGGCCUGGGAAGGUGCGUUAGGACAGUGAUUUAUUUUGGGGCUGGCAACUUCUAGCUGGAAGGUAGUUGUUGCUGGUAUUAGUGCUUGAUAAUUAUCAGACUUCUGUUUGCAUACUGAUUGUAUGCUAUAUGAUGCUUUAGCUUGACUGCCUAGGUAGAAAGCUCCAUGGGUCUCUGUCCCUUCAACUUUGGGGUUUAGUACAUGUGUCCACUUGAGGAUUUUCUGUGAGUGCUGAAACUAAGGUCCUCAUACUCACAACAACAUGGGCUUUACCCACUGAACCGUCUCCCCGGACCUCCAAACAAUGUAAACACAGAUGGAGAGCCAGGCCCAUACAUGGAUAAAAGAACAUUUGGUUUACUUGUAGUUUUUGAUGCUUAGGAUGGAAUCUAGGCACACAAGAAACACUCAUUCUACUACGGAGCUACACCCUCAGCCCUAGAAGGAGCAUCUAAACUCACGUAUUUAUUAGGAUAAUUUCUCUAUUUAUAAAACUGUCAGAGACAAGAAAACCCAUUGUAAAAUUUAAUUUUAUGGAUUAUUGUUUUGAAAGGAGGGCCUUGCUUAUUCCUUUCAGCUGUGCCCUCUCAGGCCUGGGAGGCUACAGUUUUAUUUUAGUUUUAUUUUCUGAAAAUGGUUAGGUUACAUUUCACAGCCAAGGGCCAGUAGCCAGAGGAUUAACUGCUUGCAAACAGGUCUCUGGCCUUGCGGUUCUCUUCCAUUUGGAGGAGUGACCUCGGAUUUCACACGAGGUGUCAACCGUUGGCCUGACCAGUGUGAGCGUAGUGGUCACAGUCCUUGGGGCUGUGAUAUUUGGGCAUCCGUGACCUUUGGAAGCAUUUUUAUUUUAGUGAGGAAAAGCUUUGGCACAGCAUGGAUGACAUUUCUUCCAGAGUGCUUCAUCCAAAGUUAUAUGAUACGGCUAUCAAUUUACAUUCAGGAAUGCUGUUGGAAUAACUCAAGUGGUGAUUUAGAAAGGUUCUGACGUAGCCAUUUUUCUUCCUUCAGUUGUGAAGAUCAGUUUGAAACUGUCUCAAGUCCAAGGAGGAUCAUACAGUGGGAUUUCUUUUCUCUCUUUUUUUUUUCUUUUUCUCUUUUUUGCUCUGUGCAGCCUGCUGACAUUGUACAGAGAACUUUACUCUGAAUGAUUUAGUGUGGGAAAAGGAAGAGACAACAGUGGCUAAGUGUGUUUGAUUCAAUGAGGCAGAUCGUUUUAGGUUAGUGUAAAAUUCCAGUGAUUGGAAUAAAAGUCUGUCUGAGAAAUGCACUCUGUCUCUCUCUAGAGCUCCCUCCCAGCUGUGCUAGGGUGUGAGGGGGACACACUGAAGGUGGGACAUACUAACUGACACCUGUCUGCUGCUGUCCUGAGGCAGGGAUUAUCCUAAGUGCUUUGUAAAUGUCAGCAAAUCUACAUAGAAGCCCUCACUUUAUGCUUCCCAUUUUAUAGAUUGAAGAACUGAGGUCCAAAGAUAACAGAGACACUCGGGCCACAUUCUCCAGUCUGUUGGCCAUCUGGCUUCUGUGGAAUAUGGUUUUUAGCCACUAUAAAUAAGUUACAUUUUAUUUCUGUCUUAAUUUCCCUUCACUUUAUUUUAAACCAAAUUUGAGAGAUUUGAUAAUCAAGUUGAUAGUCAUUUCAGUCUUAUAAAACUAAUUUUUUUGAUUGCUUUAG
rnacentral:lncRNA from 1 species